GAUGAACGCUGGCGGCGUGCCUAAUACAUGCAAGUCGAGCGAACAGACGAGGAGCUUGCUCCUCUGACGUUAGCGGCGGACGGGUGAGUAACACGUGGAUAACCUACCUAUAAGACUGGGAUAAUUUCGGGAAACCGGAGCUACUACCGGAUAAUAUAUUGAACCGCAUGGUUCAAUAGUGAAAGACGGUUUUGCUGUCACUUAUAGAUGGAUCCGCGCCGCAUUAGCUAGUUGGUAAGGUAACGGCUUACCAAGGCAACGAUGCGUAGCCGACCUGAGAGAGUGAUCGGCCACGCUGGAACAGAGACACGGUCCAGACUGCUACGGGGGGCAGCAGUAGAGAAUCUUCCGCGAUGGGCGAAAGCCUGACGGAGCAACGCCGCGUGAGUGAUGAAGGUCUUCGGAUCGUAAAACUCUGUUAUUUGGGAAGAACAAAUGUGUAAGUAACUAUGCACGUCGUGGCGGUACCUAGUCAGAGAGCCGCGGAUAACUGCG
rnacentral:rRNA from 1 species